AUGGGAGUGCUGGAGGCUGAAGUCCUAUAUUCAUCCACAGGACACAUACAGCAUAGGCAGUAUCAAUACAAUCUAUUGCAUACUGCCUCACCAAUGCACCUCAGUGCCAUUGUGAUGGGACCACCUCUAGAUGAUGAGAAAGUAGUUUAGUCUCCCUGGCCCAUUUAGUCAUCAGCCUCU
ensembl:misc_RNA